AAUGCUAAGUCUUAUGGUCGUGCUCAUGCCAACCACGUUGAUCUCAACGAAGCUCAAGACCAGCCUGCUACUGUGAUGGGUACACUCCUCGUAAAUUCAGUACCAGCAUCCGUUUUAUUUGAUACAUGUGCAUCGCAUUCAUUCAUGUCAGAAGAUUUUGCAUACAAGCACGACGUUAAAUGUGAGGAGAUGAACACCUCUAUAUUGGUCAAAACCCCCGUGGGACAGUGUCAAACCUCCUUGGUUGGCAUCGAUGUCCCCGUGGAAAUCGAAGGGCUGGAAUUCUAUGCCUCUCCCAUUAUCCUGAAGUCGUCUAACAUCGACCUCAUUUUGGGUAUGGAUUGGUUGAAAGCGCAUACUGCUUCUAUAGUUUGCGCCACUAAGACCGUCCAUCUGCUACACCCUUCAGAUGAAAUAGUUGCUUACCAAGCUCAUCUGGUGCAAAAUGCCGAGGCAAGGCUCUAUGCAUUG
rnacentral:rRNA from 1 species